rnacentral:rRNA from 1 species
AGCGAACGCUGGCGGCAGGCUUAACACAUGCAAGUCGAGCGGGCGUAGCAAUACGUCAGCGGCAGACGGGUGAGUAACGCGUGGGAACGUACCUUUUGGUUCGGAACAACACAGGGAAACUUGUGCUAAUACCGGAUAAGCCCUUACGGGGAAAGAUUUAUCGCCGAAAGAUCGGCCCGCGUCUGAUUAGCUAGUUGGUGAGGUAAUGGCUCACCAAGGCGGCGAUCAGUAGCUGGUCUGAGAGGAUGAUCAGCCACAUUGGGACUGAGACACGGCCCAAACUCCUACGGGAGGCAGCAGUGGGGAAUAUUGGACAAUGGGCGCAAGCCUGAUCCAGCCAUGCCGCGUGAGUGAUGAAGGCCCUAGGGUUGUAAAGCUCUUUUGUGCGGGAAGAUAAUGACGGUACCGCAAGAAUAAGCCCCGGCUAACUUCGUGCCAGCCGCCGCGGUAACAC